UAAGGGCGCACGGUGGAUGCCUUGGCACUAGGAGCCGAUGAAGGACGGGACUAACACCGAUAUGCUUUGGGGAGCUGUACGUAAGCUAUGAUCCAGAGAUUUCCGAAUGGGGGAACCCAACAUCUUUAAUAGGAUGUUACGAUUGUGUGAAUACAUAGCACAUUCGAGGUAGACGCAGAGAACUGAAACAUCUAAGUACCUGCAGGAAGAGAAAGAAAAUUCGAUUCCCUGAGUAGCGGCGAGCGAAACGGGAAAAGCCCAAACCAGCAAGCUUGCUUGUUGGGGUUGUAGGACUCCAAUAUGGUAGUUCUUUCAGAUAGUCGAAUGACUUGGAAAAGUCAGUCAAAGAGGGUAAAAACCCCGUAGACGAAAUGUGGAAGACACCUAGGAGGAUCCUGAGUACGGCGGAACACGAGAAAUUCCGUCGGAAUCCGGGAGGACCAUCUCCCAAGGCUAAAUACUCCCUAGUGACCGAUAGUGAACCAGUACCGUGAGGGAAAGGUGAAAAGCACCCCGGAAGGGGAGUGAAAUAGAACCUGAAACCGUGUGCCUACAACAAGUCAAAGCCCGUUAAUGGGUGAUGGCGUGCCUUUUGUAGAAUGAACCGGCGAGUUACGAUUGCAUGCGAGGUUAAGUUGAAGAGACGGAGCCGCAGCGAAAGCGAGUCUGAAUAGGGCGUUUGAGUAUGUAGUCGUAGACCCGAAACCAUGUGAUCUACCCAUGUCCAGGUUGAAGGUGCGGUAAAACGCACUGGAGGACCGAACCCACGUACGUUGAAAAGUGCGGGGAUGAGGUGUGGGUAGCGGAGAAAUUCCAAACGAACUUGGAGAUAGCUGGUUCUCUCCGAAAUAGCUUUAGGGCUAGCCUCGGAAUUGAGAAUGAUGGAGGUAGAGCACUGUUUGGACUAGGGGCCCAUCUCGGGUUACCGAAUUCAGAUAAACUCCGAAUGCCAUUCAUUCAUAUCCGGGAGUCAGACUGUGAGUGAUAAGAUC
rnacentral:rRNA from 1 species